UUAAAUUUAAUUUAAUUACACACAUUUCUCAAAUAUUUAAAUUUUUCAUUUGUCAAUAUAGGAAAUUUGUGUGCAUCAUUUGUUCAAGAACACAAUCAAAUAAUCUGAUCGACGACCAUUUUCAUCUUUCAAAUUGUCAAUAUAUUUAGUCUCCACAAAAUCGCAUUCGAUUUGAUCGAGAUGAAGAUGAAAACAUUUUUAGUUUAUAAACAAUGUUUAUUUAUUAAUAUUUGGCAAAUGGUUGAUGGUCAUUUCAUCGAAAUUGAAUUUGUUUUCUUUUCUCUCGAAUCAUUUGGGUUUAAUAAUAAUUUAGUUGAAUUCUGAUCCAUGUCUAAUGUCUAUUAUCAUCAUCAUCAUCAUCAUUAUUAUGAUUAUUACCAAUAAACCCGAUAAUCAUUAUCAUUAUAAUAAUGAUUAUUAUUAUAAUAAUAUUCGAUUUAUCGUAAAUCGAUCAGUAUCAAAGUCACAUAGUUGUUUCAUCCAAUUCGUAAUGAUGAUUGACCUUAUAUUACUUAUUUUUUUUGUAUAUUGGGAUUACUUGGUAACCCGGUGAUGUUGAUGAAGUUGAUGAUGAUGAUGAUGAUGAUGAUGGCGGUGGCGAUGAACGUGAAGAAAACCAAAAAAUAAACAAAAUGUGGUACUAGGUUAUUAUUUAUAUAUUAUAUUUGCAGAUUUUGUUCAGCUGUGCUUCAUGUUCUUUUUGACUACAAACAUUUUUUUUUCUUUGUUACCAAAAAAAACAACAACAACAACGAUAUCCAAAUCAUCAUUAUCAUUUAUAUAAAUUAAACAACAAUAUAUAUUCUCGUUUUUUUUCGGUUUUUCCAUAGAUAAGAUGUUCGAAUAUUUAUUACAUUUUCUUAUUUGGAUAUGCCCGACUAUGCCAGUGUGUGAUUCACCAUCAACAUAGAACAUUGAUAACUUGACCUCUCUUUCUGUCUUUUGUCCAAAAACAAAAACAAAAAAAAAUAAAAAUUCCUGUAAUUUUUAUCCACUUGUGUUUAUAUAAAACAUUUAGACAAUUAACCGUUGGCCAUUAUCAUCAUCAUAGGUUACACUGUUUGCUUUAAAUGUCUCUGUGGAUUUAAGAUAAAUUCUUGUCGCAAACAUCCAGAUGAAUGAAUGAAUGAAUGCAUGCAUGCACAUGUAUGAAUGUGUGUGUGUGUGUAUGUUUAAAAACGAUCCAUUGGCCAAUUCUAUUAUCAUCAUCAUCAUCAUCAUCAUAAUGACCAUGUCCAGAAUAUUAUUUUUUUUCUUUUGUUUUUUGUUCAUAUAUUCUAUUGUUAUUAUUUGCACAAUAAUGGUGUAUGUAUGGAACCAUUGUCAUGUUAUGUAAAGACUAUGGUGUGUAUUGUUUUUUGUUGUGGAAAUUAAAGAACAAAAAAAAAAAAGUUUAAA